rnacentral:lncRNA from 1 species
CAGAAGUCAGGUCGGAUUAAGCCAUAGUACGGAAAAAACUAUGCUACCUGUGAGCCCCGUCCAAGGACGUUAAACGAAGUCAGGCCAUCACAAGUGCCAUAGCUUGAGUAAACUAUGCAGCCUGUAGCUCCACCUGAGAAGGUGUAAAAAAUCUGGGAGGCCACAAACCAUGGAAGCUGUACGCAUGGCGUAGUGGACUAGCGGUUAGAGGAGACCCCUCCCUUACAAAUCGCAGCAACAAUGGGGG